ACAUGCCUCUUUCUCUAGUCUCUCUCUCUGCUUAUACAUACAUGUAUCUACAGGUCUGUCUCUGUGAGUGAGUGAGAUUGAGAGUGACAGCAUGCAAUCUACAAGUGUCGUUGAGAAGUUGUUCCUAUUCACUGACUGACUGAUUCAUUUCAUUUCAUGCCAAAUUUUAUCUAAAAAGUUUAUUUAUAUUUUACAUAAUUAUAAAAUAUUGAUUGGUUAUUGGCGGGAAGAGAAAAAGGAAAUUAAAUUAGAAAAUCCAAAAUUCAAAUUCCAAUGUAAGUAAAACUGGGAAAUGAGUUAUUGGCUAUGAUAUUUACAUAUACAUAUGGCUCACGAGCUAUUGAUUGGUUUAUAUCUCAAUAUCAUUACCAAUAACGUCUCACUUUUAUUGGAAUUUGAAGUUUGGACUUUCCAAUUCAAUUUCCCUCUGUCUCUUCCCACCAAUAACAAAUAAUCUUAAUCCAAAUUAAAAAACAAAAAUUUUUAUACUGUAUGCAUGUACAUUUUAUGUACGUAUUUACUCUCUAACAUCUUUCAAGAAUCAUGGAAAAUUAAAGGUCACAUUUCAAGCAGUUAGUGGUCCUCUCCUCCAUCAAACUAUCACAACACAACUGGGAAAUUUCCUUUUGUUCUUUCUUUCUUUCUUUUUAGUUUCACACAAUUUUCUGGGUCACCCUAAAAAAAUCAUCAUAUGAAAAAGUUCUUUUGAUAAGUUUUUUUUUUUUGAUGGGAUUCGAUUUCCUCAAAAGCCAUUCACUUAUUAUGAUUGUGUCUUCAACUUCCACAAUUUUUUGCUCUACUUUUUAGCUUGAAUUCCUACCGAAAAUAGGUCCACACUUUUAGUUGGUCCAUCCCAUUUUAGGCCAAGAAAGAGAAUAUAUUCUCAGCAUAUUGAAUUUGUUUGAUAUACCACUUCAACAUACGUGUGACUAAGGUGUGAUAUUUCAAACCAUGCCCAUGAGUUAUUUUUGUUUUCUUCCCAAACUACAUAUUAUAAUAGCAUAUGUUGCACUAAUUCAACAUGUAUCAAUUCAAACAAACAAACAACCCUAUUAUUACACUAUUUAUUUAUUUUUUUUUUAAAAUAAGAAUUGUCAGUGAUCUUAUUGUUUUUGUAAUGGGCCCAUCUAGGCCCAAUAAGGUUUAAUUUUGGGCCAGAUGAAGCCCAAUUGUUAUUUCACACGUGUGCUACGGUCUUUCUAGAACGGAAAAACUAUUGAUGAGAUCGUACAUGUUUUGGUGUUCAUGUCUCUGCAUAUUUGAUCUGGCUUUGGGAAAAUAUCGUCUUUUGUUGCAUAUUAUCGUCUUUUGUUUUGGUGUUCAUGUCUCUGCAUAUUAUUCUUGUUUUCUUCUGAAUUGAUGUCAUUCCGAAUGAGUAUUUUGAUUCUCAUUUGAUCUUUUCUUGGCAUAUCUUAUGGAAUAUAGAACAUUUUGGGACCAUGAAUUGAUCGGAGGUAGAAAAGUGAAAUUCUGCAGUUCCUUUAUUGGUUUUUUUUGUGUUACUGUUGAGUUGCGUGGUGGACGUGGAUGAUCAUCUAAUGUUGCAUAGGCAAAAUUGGCCUUUAAUGGAAAUAACUAUCUUGCUCGCUGGCUUGGAAAUUUUCUCGGAUUAUCUUUCGGGUGUUAAUGUGAAAUGAUAUUUGAAUCAUGUUGUUAUUUUGGCUAUUUGCAAAGUGUGUUUGUCUGUGUUUUGGGUGUUUAGGAAUUGAAAUAGGUUUGGAUGGGAUGUUCUAAAUGGGGUGAAAACGUAAGCAAGCAUACCUGGAUAUGAAUUCUUCCUAAGUUCUUGGUAAUAUAGACAAUGUCAAGUGAAAAAAUUCCAAAGGAGUUCUUCAUCUGGAGCUUCAAAUCCAGCCAUGACUUCAUGUAGUAAAAAGAAAAAUGAAGAAGCAACAUUUAUGGAAGAUCUGAGGGAUCACAUUGAUGAAUUUAUUCAUGCUUCCACGGAGGAACACAAAACUUACUUCCAGAAGACUAUCAAGAAGAUGUUUGGGAUGUCAAAAGUUGUUGCAGAAAGAAAUAUGGUGAACAGAGAAGUGGAAAGCUUUUUGCCCCUCAGAACAACCGUGGCUGAGUAAGGGGUCCUCCCGCCAAUAGCCCUCGCUACAUUCACCCAACGGUCUGGGGUGUCCUUGUCGAACACCGCCAGUGCCAUCUCAAAGGCUUUGUUUUCCGCAGCUGACCAAGACCUCAUCGAGCUAGACGCCAUUUCCAACACUAAAUGCUGGAGGGAGUCGCUUUACUGAAAAAAAAAAAUAUUGAGGGGUCUAGCAAGACUGAGGUCAAGAACUGUCAGCUGAGGAUGGUGUAGAAAACAGUGGGAAUUGUGAAGUAUUUAUAGGCUCCAAGGGUAGACAUGGGGUUCGAAGUUGUGCUGCUGGUCAUGCCAGUUGCCCUUUUCGUAUGAACUAGCAAGAUAUGAGGAAUUCUGGUGAUUUGUCUCCCUAAGAACCACAUCUGGAGUGGGACAAAAGGCAAGUUACUACUACCUUGAAGAAUCUCUCGACCGGCAUAUGAAAUUGGUAUACAACAUUUACCUCCAUCAUUUGCUGUUCUUGUAUAAAUCACAAUUUGGGAGAUUCCUCCUUCUAUCAUGUAGUGGUAAAUGCUCCAUAUCAACUGACUAUACCGUGGAAGGACCAACCAGAAGAAUCUCUACAAAGUUCAGAAUCUGUGGCUUGGCUGGUUGGAUCAACUUUGUCGAAAGGUGAUUAGUGGUUGGGAUGGAAUCUUGAAAGGAGUUGAUGGAAGAUAAGGUUUUUCAUCACCCUGGACCAAGCUACUCUUUCCUUGGUAAUAUCCACCACUUUGAACUUAACUUGAUUCUUGACUGUAAUAACAAUAAUUUACAGAUGCAGCAGCUCCUCAAUGAAGAGGUAAGAGUGUGAUGCAAUUGAUUCUAUCUAGUGUCAAGUGGAGCAGAGCUGAGAGUUUUGUGUGAAGAAAAAGAAAUGGUCCUUGGGGCCAUUACAGGAUUCUCAUUCUCAUUUUUGUUAGGUCAUUCAUUCUCAUUCUGAUAUUUUUUAUUGAGAAUUUUAAAAGGCAAAAAUUGGAUUUUGAGAAUAGAUUGUUUAAUUAGUUGUUGGUUAGUUAUGCAAAUGCAUGCAUUUCGUGUUGGGUUGUUAAAAAUCGAUGAGGAUGGGGAACUAGAUGAAUGUUUGUUUGAUUAUACAUGAUUCUAUAUAUAUAUA